GACGUAGGGGACGAGCGUUGUCCGGAUUCAUUGGGCGUAAAGCGCGCGUAGGCGGUUCGGUAAGUCGGGUGUGAAAACACGAGGCUCAACCUCGUGCGUGCAUCCGAUACUGCCGGACUAGAGGUAGGUAGGGGAGAUCGGAAUUCCUGGUGUAGCGGUGAAAUGCGCAGAUAUCAGGAGGAACACCGGUGGCGAAGGCGGGUCUCUGGACAGUUCCUGACGCUGAGGCACGAAGGCCAGGGGAGCAAACGGG
rnacentral:rRNA from 1 species